GGGUUAAGUCCCGUAACGAGCGCAACCCUUGUCCUAGUUACCAGCACGUUAUGUGGGCACUCUAAGGAGACUGCCGGUGACAAACCGGAGGAAGUGGGGAUGACGUCAAGUCAUCAUGGCCCUUACGGCCUGGGCUACACACGUGCUACAAUGGUCGGUACAAAGGGUUGCCAAGCCGCGAGGUGGAGCUAAUCCCAUAAAACCGAUCGUAGUCCGGAUCACAGUCUGCAACUCGACUGCGUGAAGUCGGAAUCGCUAGUAAUCGUGAAUCAGAAUGUCACGGUGAAUACGUUCCCGGGCCUU
rnacentral:rRNA from 1 species